GGAGAGGUACCGAAGUGGCCAUAACGGGCCCGACUCGAAAUCGGGUAGGGGGUUAUACUCCCACGUGGGUUCGAAUCCCACCCUCUCCGCCA
rnacentral:tRNA from 2 species